rnacentral:rRNA from 1 species
UGAUGGUGAAAAUCGUAACAAGGUUUCCGUAGGUGAACCUGCGGAAGGAUCAUUACCGAGUGCGGGUCCUUUGGGCCCAACCUCCCAUCCGUGUCUAUUAUACCCUGUUGCUUCGGCGGGCCCGCCGCUUGUCGGCCGCCGGGGGGGCGCCUUUGCCCCCCGGGCCCGUGCCCGCCGGAGACCCCAACACGAACACUGUCUGAAAGCGUGCAGUCUGAGUUGAUUGAAUGCAAUCAGUUAAAACUUUCAACAAUGGAUCUCUUGGUUCCGGCAUCGAUGAAGAACGCAGCGAAAUGCGAUAACUAAUGUGAAUUGCAGAAUUCAGUGAAUCAUCGAGUCUUUGAACGCACAUUGCGCCCCCUGGUAUUCCGGGGGGCAUGCCUGUCCGAGCGUCAUUGCUGCCCUCAAGCCCGGCUUGUGUGUUGGGUCGCCGUCCCCCUCUCCGGGGGGACGGGCCCGAAAGGCAGCGGCGGCACCGCGUCCGAUCCUCGAGCGUAUGGGGCUUUGUCACAUGCUCUGUAGGAUUGGCCGGCGCCUGCCGACGUUUUCCAACCAUUUUUUCCAGGUUGACCUCGGAUCAGGUAGGGAUACCCGCUGAACUUAAGCAUAUCAAUAAGCGAAGGAAGCGGU